ACUUCUACUUAACCUAGUCGAUUAUGGUGGGCAAUUACUAAAUUUUGCUGGGCAACUGCUACUGUACCUAGUAAAUUUUGGUGGACGACUACUAAAUUUCGCUUGGCAACUGCUACUGUACCUGAUAGAAUUUUUUGGGCAACUGCUAUUGAACCUGAUCAACUUUGGUAAGGAACUGCUACCGAAGUUGGUAAAUUUUGGUGGGCAACUACUCAAUUUUGUUGGGCAACUGUUACUGAACUUAGUAAAUUUUGGAGGAC
rnacentral:lncRNA from 1 species